rnacentral:rRNA from 1 species
CAAUAGCGUAUAUUUAAGUUGUUGCAGUUAAAAAGCUCGUAGUUGGAUUUCGGGUGGGACGCAGCGGUCUCGCAUUGCGUUUGUACUGCUGCAGCCCUCCUUCUUGCCGGGGGCGGCCUCUCGGACUUCACUGUCUGGGGGUCAGAAUCGGCGAUGUUACUUUGAGUAAAUUAGAGUGUUCAAAGCAAGCUUACGCUCUGAAUAUAAUAGCAUGGGAUAACACGACAGGACUCUGGCCUAUCGUGUUGGUCUAUAGGACCAGAGUAAUGAUUAAGAGGGACAGUCGGGGGCAUUCGUAUUCCGUUGUCAGAGGUGAAAUUCUUGGAUUUACGGAAGACGAACAUCUGCGAAAGCAUUUGCCAAGGAUGUUCUCAUUGA